GUGGGGAAUAUUGGACAAUGGGCGAAAGCCUGAUCCAGCCAUGCCGCGUGUGUGAAGAAGGUCUUCGGAUUGUAAAGCACUUUAAGUUGGGAGGAAGGGCAGUAAGUUAAUACCUUGCUGUUUUGACGUUACCGACAGAAUAAGCACCGGCUAACUUCGUGCCAGCAGCCGCGGUAAUACGAAGGGUGCAAGCGUUAAUCGGAAUUACUGGGCGUAAAGCGCGCGUAGGUGGUUCAGCAAGUUGGAGGUGAAAUCCCCGGGCUCAACCUGGGAACUGCCGCCAAAACUACUGAGCUAGAGUACGGUAGAGGGUAGUGGAAUUUCCUGUGUAGCGGUGAAAUGCGUAGAUAUAGGAAGGAACACCAGUGGCGAAGGCGACUACCUGGACUGAUACUGACACUGAGGUGCGAAAGCGUGGGGAGCAAACAGGAUUAGAAACCCCUGUAGUCC
rnacentral:rRNA from 1 species